rnacentral:lncRNA from 1 species
GGGUGUUUAUAAUGGUUGCUUUUAGUUUGUUUUGCUCAUAACGUUCUUAGGUGCAAUUCUUCUUUAUUUAUCUUAGUUCAAAUCAGCAUCACCUUAACCAUGUCAUAGUAUGGAUGAUCGGAUAAACAAGAAGGACCUUCAUCCUUCUUAGAACGAGAGAGAAAGGCCAUUUGCUUCUCUCUUCUCAUAAUUGAUGAGGCACGCUCACUUCUAUUUUAGAAAAAAGAAAGGAAAGUUAGAAAUGAAAGCAAACAAAUUGGAGAGCA